GUGUUAAACAUUGUUUGAAAAAUGUCUUUCAAGGUGUAAGACCCCCUCUCGGGGACCCCCACUCUAGUCUCGGGAGUGUGAGAGCACCCAAAGAAACAUGAGGACCC
rnacentral:pre_miRNA from 7 species